GGAUUGUGGUUCAGUGGCAGAGUGCUUGCCUCCCAAGUAUGAGGCACUGGGUUUGAUCCUCAGCACCA
rnacentral:tRNA from 1 species